UACGGGGGGGGCAAGCGUUGUUCGGAAUUACUGGGCGUAAAGGGCUCGUAGGUGGCCAACUAAGUCAGACGUGAAAUCCCUCGGCUUAACCGGGGAACUGCGUCUGAUACUGGAUGGCUUGAGUUCGGGAGAGGGAUGCGGAAUUCCAGGUGUAGCGGUGAAAUGCGUAGAUAUCUGGAGGAACACCGGUGGCGAAGGCGGCAUCCUGGACCAACACUGACGCUGAGGAGCGAAAGCCAGGGGAGCGAACAGG
rnacentral:rRNA from 1 species